rnacentral:rRNA from 2 species
AGAGUGAUCGAAAGAUGAAAAGCACUUUGGAAAGAGGGUUAAACAGUACGUGAAAUUGCUGAAAGGGAAGCGCUCGCGACCAGACUCGCGCCGGGCGGAUCAUCCAGCGUUCUCGCUGGUGCACUUCGCCCGGCCCGGGCCAGCAUCGGUUCUAGCGGGGGGACAAAAGCCCGGGAAACGUAGCUCCCUCCGGGGAGUGUUAUAGUCCCUCGCCUAAUAUCCCCGCCGGGACCGAGGACCGCGCCUCGUGCAAGGAUGCUGGCGUAAUGGUCGCCAGCGACCCGUCUUGAAACACGGACCAAGGAGUCGAACAUUCGUGCGAGUGUUUGGGUGGAAACCCCUCACGCGUAAUGAAAGUGAACGGAGGUGGGAGCUUCGGCGCACCAUCGACCGAUCCUGAAGCUUGUCGGAUGGAUUUGAGUGGGAGCAUGACUGUUCGGACCCGAAAGAUGGUGAACUAUGCCUGCGUAGGGUGAAGCCAGAGGAAACUCUGGUGGAGGCUCGCAGCGGUUCUGACGUGCAAAUCGAUCGUCAAACGUGGGCAUGGGGGCGAAAGACUAAUCGAACCAUCUAGUAG